UUUAAUUCCAGCUCCAAUAGUGUAUAUUAGAGUUGUUGCAGUUAAAAAGCUCGUAGUUGGAUUUCUGUCGUGGUCAUCCGGUUCCGCCUGUAUGGGUGUGCAGCUGGAUUGGGCUCGGCAUUCUUCCGGUUGCCUUGCAUGCUUUGUUGUGUGUUUGGUGUUCCGGAACUUUUACUUUGAGAAAAAUAGAGUGUUUCAAGCAGGCUUGUUGCCUUGAAUACUGCAGCAUGGAAUAAUAAGAUAGGACCAUGGUUCUAUUUUGUUGGUUUCUAGGACUAGGGUAAUGAUUAAUAGGGACAGUUGGGGGCAUUCGUAUUUAACUGUCAGAGGUGAAAUUCUUAGAUUUGUUAAAGACGAACUACUGCGAAAGCAUUUGCCAAGGAUGUUUUCAUUAAUCAAGAACGACAGUAGGGGGUUUGAAGACGAUUAGAUACCGUCGUAAUCUCUACCAUAAACUAUGCCGACUAGAGAUAGGGAAAUGCCUACCUUGGCUUCUCCUGAAGA
rnacentral:rRNA from 1 species